ensembl:snoRNA
CCAGCCCUUAGAGGUGUGGCCGCUGUGCACAAGUGCGUCAGUAGGUGGCAGAGAGGAGACAGGCUCUGUCUACACUCAGUGUUCUAGCCUGUGAACAUCUGAAGGAUUAGUAGCCUAACAUU